rnacentral:tRNA from 1 species
CAAAAUGUAGCUUAAAUAAAAGCAUCUGGCUUACACCCAGAAGACGUCUCUUUAUAUGACCGUUUUGA